UGUGCGCUUGUAGGAGGAUAAAAUAGUAGUAGAACUAGAUGAAGAAGACGAAGAAAUCAUCAAAUCAAUCACUUUUAGAGUAUCCUCUAUGUCAACUUUUAUAUGUACCUGCAUGUGCAAACUUGUAUUUAAAACUAUUACUAACCCUGUCAUACUGUUGGUUAUUGCAUAACUCGAAAGAUUUAUGUUAAACAGAUCGGAGAGGUCGAUGGAGAUGUUGAAGCGGUUACAGGAGGAAAAAAAUAGUAGUAGAACUAGAUGAAGAAGACGAAGAACUCACCAAAUCAAUAAAUUUUAGAAACUCGAAAGAUUAUGUUAAACGGAUCAAAAAGGUCGACGGCAACGAUGAAGAUUUUGGUAUACUAGGACAGUCAAGUGUCAUGUCAAAGGGUUUGGGUUCUAGGCGAGGUUUGUGCUCGGGAAGGGAUCCGGCAAACGCAUCGCGGUGCAGCCAACCGGCGACAUGGUCAUGUGCGCCAGGCCAAGGGGUGCAGGACCAUGACUCUGCUUCUCUCUCUGCCUACUCGUUUGUUCCCUGCACCAUAGUUUAGAUAGUGUUGAGUUGAGCUGAUUUGAGGGAAGUUAUUGUGAUGCGGGAAGGUUUGGUUGGUGCUAGCUGCCCUACAUCAUUUUUGUGGGGGUUUUGUGGUCUGUGUUACAUACAUUAAAAAAAUCACCCUUCUAGAAAUUAACCGCCACAUACUGUUUUCUCCCUGGGCGUCCACUGAUCUUCUGCACCAGAGGCAUAGUAGCCGUACACCAUCUUUGGUAGCUUCUCCUUGGCGAGCUUCUUCUACUUGGGCACAUUUGUUAUCAGCUCCAUACCCCUGCUUGAAUAGUUCAUUGUCAUUUCACA